GGGCCGUUAGCUCAGCGGUAGAGCGAUCCCUUUACACGGGAAAGGUCGGGGGUUCGAUCCCCUCACGGCCCA
rnacentral:tRNA from 1 species